CCAAUCAGAGCCCGUUCUCUAGUAUUUGAUCUAAAAUGUACCCAGGGAACUUAGCAUUCAGGAGCAGGAGCCAAAGGGUGUGAUAGGAAGAGACGGGCUGGUGAGGUCCUUAUGGCCAAGGUGGAACCAAAGUGAAGAGGAAGCAGUCCUGAGUGAUGAGAGAAAGCUCAUGAAUGGAGCUGAAGCCUGGAAAGAGGCGGGAACACUGCAGCAAGACCAGCAGCGAAGCCCAUGAAGGAAGAGAAUGAAUGAAUGAAAGACCCCUGAGCUGCCCGGAUUCCUAGAAGCUUCUCGGUGCCUAUUUUCGUCCCCAGCAAUAGGAAUCUUUUAGAAACGACUUCAUUGCCACAUCAGCUUUUCCUUGAGAUUGCUUGUGUUUUGCCCCUUGCAACGGAAAAAAACUAAUUUACCUUGGCACCUCACCAGGAUCUACUUCAUACCUUGGAGGCUUUGAUAAUAGCUGAUAAGUGCAGAACUUUUUGUUUUUCAAGUAUUUCCACAUACAGUUUUAUUUCAUUCUUACAACAGUUCCGUAUGUAGGAAGGGAAGGUGUUCUUUCCCAUUUUGUAGAUGAGAACAUGAAGGCACAGAUACUUGCCUAAGUUGAUGCCGCUAAUAAGUGACAGGGCCACUAUCAAAAUCUGGAUUUCUACUCCUACCUAACCUAGGGAUUCUUCUACCAUACCACAACUGCCAAUCCGGUUAAAAAAUAAAAGCAUGCUGUAUUAGUCUGUCCUCAUGUUGCUAUAAAGAAAUACUGGAGACUGGGUAAUUUAUAAGAAAAGAGGCUUAAACGGCUCAUGGUUCUGCAGGCUGUACAGGAAGCAUAACACCGGCAUCUGCUUCUGGGGAGACCACUGGAAGCUUAGAGGCAUGGUGGAAGGUGAAGUGGGAGCCUGCAUAUCUCAUGGAGCAAGAGCACAAAAGCGAGGGGGGGUAACACUCAACAUAAUAACUUGGGUCUAUAUCUUUGAGCCAGAGGCCAAGUUGGACUUCUUCUUGACACCAAAUCCUAUUAGAGAUCAUGAUGAGAAAAUGGAGGCCUAGAGAAGUGAAAUGACUUGCAGAUCCCAAAACUGUCAGGCUUCCCAAACAACUAGUCACGGAAACCCUACUAUGUGCCAUGUGCAGGCAAUUAAGGGAUUAAUUGCUUUCUUCUCUGGUUCACCCACAACACUGCCCAAGUUUCAUGACAGCUCAGGAAAACUGCACUGGCAUUAGUCAUCUCCAUGUCUGCCUGCUGUACUGUAACACGAGCCUGGAGGACCAAGGUGGGACCUAACUCCCU